rnacentral:rRNA from 1 species
UACAGAGGGUGCGAGCGUUGUCCGGAAUCACUGGGCGUAAAGGGCGCGUAGGUGGUGACCUAAGCGUGCGGUGAAAGCCCGAGGCUCAACCUCGGGUCGGCCGUGCGAACUGGGUCACUGGAGCAGAAUAGAGGCAGGUGGGAUUCCGGGUGUAGCGGUGGAAUGCGUAGAGAUCCGGAAGAACACCGGUGGCGAAGGCGGCGACCUGGGUUGACACUGACGCUGAGGCGCGAAAGCGUGGGGAGCAAACAGG